UGAGAGACUGUUUAUCAUAAUAGGACGCUCCAGGAUCUCACUGGCAGUUGGUCUUGAUUGAGGAUCUUUAUUUAUUAUAUCAUUCAACAGAUCACGAAGCUCUGGUGAGAACUUGUCUGGGAGAGAUGGGUAGCCACCAAGUAUCUUUGGUAUGAGCUUGAUCGGAGUCUCAGCUCUUGGUGUGCAGAAAUCUCUGUGAGCAUCUCCCUUUUUCUCGUAGCAGUCAGCCUUUGCAGCGGCUGCAGCACUACAGCAGUCACAGAUCACCUCCAGUAAUACCAGCAACAACUACAGUAGCAGCAGCAGCAGCAUCCCCAGCAAUCCCUCAACAGCAACUGCUCCCUCAUUUGUCAACACCCACGCAUUCGUAUUUGUGGUCGUGGGAUCUCAGCUUGCAUUUACGACAGGUCACAUCACAGGUGUUGUGGUGGCAGCCCGGCUGACGGUGAGUGUCCUGGUUUUUCCUCCUUUUUAUCAGUUUUCUGCUUUUUCCCUUGGUUUCCUG